rnacentral:rRNA from 1 species
UACGUAGGGGGCGAGCGUUGUCCGGAAUUAUUGGGCGUAAAGAGCUCGUAGGCGGUCUGUUACGUCCGCUGUGAAAACCCAGGGCUUAACCCUGGGCUUGCAGUGGAUACGGGCAGACUAGAGGCAGGUAGGGGAGAAUGGAAUUCCCGGUGUAGCGGUGAAAUGCGCAGAUAUCGGGAGGAACACCGGUGGCGAAGGCGGUUCUCUGGGCCUGACCUGACGCUGAGGAGCGAAAGCGUGGGGAGCGAACAGG